GGUCUAACAGCCAAAGCUCACGUGCCCUCGGCACAAUCUGAUACAAAUACAGAAAUCUGGGUCCACCGUCAACCGCGACAGCACCCGACAGUCUGAAACAGUCUACACACUACUGUAAAAAUAAACUCGGCCUCCGAGCACAAGUGCAAACUCAUCCUACACUAAUCUGGAUAUCUAUCGCAUACUAACAGCGAUGAUACAACCAAACCACAGCUCCUAAAACUAAAUCUGGUAAUUUUCAAAAAUGACAAUGUAGAUUCUAAAUGUUUUCUCCUAAGUCAAUUCCAAGUCCAACAUAUAAAAUUAAACUGCUAGCUUAACUCCAAAUUC
rnacentral:lncRNA from 1 species